GUACUCGCUUCGGUGUUACAUAUACUAAAAUUGAAACGAUACAGAGAAGAUUGACAUGACUCCUGCGCAAGGAUGACACGCAAAAUCAUGAAUCAUUCCACAGAAGU